rnacentral:rRNA from 1 species
AAGAUUAAGCCAUGCAUGUCUAAGUAUAAGCAAUCUAUACGGUGAAACUGCGAAUGGCUCAUUAAAUCAGUUAUCGUUUAUUUGAUAGUACCUUACUACAUGGAUAACCGUGGUAAUUCUAGAGCUAAUACAUGCUAAAAACCCCGACUUCGGAAGGGGUGUAUUUAUUAGAUAAAAACCAAUGCCCUUCGGGGCUCCUUGGUGAUUCAUAAUAACUCAACGAAUCGCAU